AGAGUUUUGAUCAUGGCUCAGAUUGAAACGCUGGCGGCAGGCCUAACACAUGCAAGUCGAACGGUAACAGGAAGCAGCUUGCUGCUUUGCUGACGAGUGGCGGACGGGUGAGUAAUGUCUGGGAAACUGCCUGAUGGAGGGGGAUAACUACUGGAAACGGUGGCUAAUACCGCAUAACGUCGCAAGACCAAAGAGGGGGACCUUCGGGCCUCUUGCCAUCAGAUGUGCCCAGAUGGGAUUAGCUUGUUGGUGAGGUAACGGCUCACCAAGGCGACGAUCCCUAGCUGGUCUGAGAGGAUGACCAGCCACACUGGAACUGAGACACGGUCCAGACUCCUACGGGAGGCAGCAGUGGGGAAUAUUGCACAAUGGGCGCCAAGCCUGAUGCAGCCAUGCCGCGUGUAUGAAGAAGGCCUUCGGGUUGUAAAGUACUUUCAGCGGGGAGGAAGGUGUUGUGGUUAAUAACCACAGCAAUUGACGUUACCCGCAGAAGAAGCACCGGCUAACUCCGUGCCAGCAGCCCGCGGUAAUACGGAGGGUGCAAGCGUUAAUCGGAAUUACUGGGCGUAAAGCGCACGCAGGCGGUCUGUCAAGUCGGAUGUGAAAUCCCCGGGCUCAACCUGGGAACUGCAUUCGAAACUGGCAGGCUUGAGUCUUGUAGAGGGGGGUAGAAUUCCAGGUGUAGCGGUGAAAUGCGUAGAGAUCUGGAGGAAUACCGGUGGCGAAGGCGGCCCCCUGGACAAAGACUGACGCUCAGGUGCGAAAGCGUGGGGGAGCAAAACAGGAUUAGAUACCCUGGUAGUCCACGCCGUAAACGAUGUCUACUUGGAGGUUGUGCCCUUGAGGCGUGGCUUCCGGAGCUAACGCGUUAAGUAGACCGCCUGGGGAGUACGGCCGCAAGGUUAAAACUCAAAUGAAUUGACGGGGGGCCCGCACAAGCGGUGGAGCAUGUGGUUUAAUUCGAUGCAACGCGAAGAACCUUACCUGGUCUUGACAUCCACAGAACUUUCCAGAGAUGGAUUGGUGCCUUCGGGAACUGUGAGACAGGUGCUGCAUGGCUGUCGUCAGCUCGUGUUGUGAAAUGUUGGGUUAAGUCCCGCAACGAGCGCAACCCUUAUCCUUUGUUGCCAGCGGUUAGGCCGGGAACUCAAAGGAGACUGCCAGUGAUAAACUGGAGGAAGGUGGGGAUGACGUCAAGUCAUCAUGGCCCUUACGACCAGGGGCUACACACGUGCUACAAUGGCGCAUACAAAGAGAAGCGACCUCGCGAGAGCAAGCGGACCUCAUAAAGUGCGUCGUAGUCCGGAUUGGAGUCUGCAACUCGACUCCAUGAAGUCGGAAUCGCUAGUAAUCGUGGAUCAGAAUGCCACGGUGAAUACGUUUCCCGGGCCUUGUACACACCGCCCGUCACACCAUGGGAGUGGGGUUGCAAAAGAAGUAGGUAGCUUAACCUUCGGGAGGGCGCUUACCACUUUUGUGAUUCAUGACUGGGGUGAAGUCGUAACAAGGUAACCGUAGGGGAACCUGCGGUUGGAUCACCU
rnacentral:rRNA from 1 species